rfam:Loxodonta africana unplaced genomic scaffold scaffold_23, whole genome shotgun sequence.
AGUAUUGUGGCUGAGCAGUCUAAAGCACUGGAUUACAGCUCUGGUCUCUGUGGAGUUGUGGGUUCAAAUCCCACUGCUGCCA